GGUGAGUAUAACGUAGACAACUUCCCUCGCAAACGGGGAUAACUCCGGGAAACCGGAGCUAAUACCCGAUGAUAUCCGGAGAGAGCAUUCUUUCCGGAUCAAAGGCCCGAAAGGGCGUUGUGAGAUGGGUCUGCGCCCCAUUAGAUAGUUGGCGGGGUAAAAGCCCACCAAGUCAACGAUGGGUAGCUGGUCUGAGAGGACGACCAGCCACACUGGAACUGAGACACGGUCCAGACUUCUACGGAAGGCAGCAGUGAGGAAUAUUGCUCAAUGGGCGAAAGCCUGAAGCAGCGACGCCGCGUGAGGGAUGAAAUCCGUUAGGAUGUAAACCUCUUUUAUAGGGGAAGAAUAGCCCGGUUACCGGUUAUGACUGUACCCUAUGAAUAAGCACCGGCCAACUACGUGCCAGCAGCCGCGGUAAUACGUAGGGUGCGAGCGUUGUUCGGAAUUACUGGGUGUAAAGGGUCCGCAGGCGGUCGAGCAAGUCGAUGGAGAAAGUUCAUGGCUUAACUGUGAAAUUGCCUUCGAUACUGCUCGUCUUGAGUUCGAGAGAGGAUGAUGGAAUUCAUGGAGUAGCAGUGAAAUGCGUAGAGAUCAUGAAGAACACCAGUUGCGAAGGCUGUCAUCUGGCUCGAUACUGACGCUCAGGGACGAAAGCGUGGGUAGCAAACAGGAUUAGAUACCCUGCUAGUCCACGCCUUAUACGAUGGAUAUUCCGGUGUCGGUCUAGCUCGGUGCUUCCGAAAGAAGCGUCAAGCGGCAUCGGUGCCUGAGCUAACGCGAUAAAAUAUCUCCACCUGGGAUGUACGAUCGCAUGGUU
rnacentral:rRNA from 1 species